rnacentral:rRNA from 2 species
UGGCACUUCUAAUCUAACACCAAGCGAAUCAUCGAGUCUUUGAACGCAAACGGCACCCUUCCAGUCCAUUCCAAAGCGGUGGCUGAGGAUGAAGACAAGGGUAUCUCUGUCUGAGGGUAAUGG